rnacentral:rRNA from 1 species
UGAUUAGAUACCCCCGUAGUCCCAGCCGUAAACGAUGCUCGCUAGGUGUCAGGCAUGGCGCGACCGUGUCUGGUGCCGCAGGGAAGCCGUGAAGCGAGCCACAUGGGAAGUACGGCCGCAAGGCUGAAACUUAAAGGAAUUGGCGGGGGAGCACAACAACGGGUGGAGCCUGCGGUUUAAUUGGACUCAACGCCGGACAACUCACCGGGGACGACAGCGAUAUGUAGGCCAGGCUGAAGACCUUGCCUGAAUCGCUGAGAGGAGGUGCAUGGCA